UUAAUUGAUUGAUUUCAAUACUCCGACGCAAAGACGCAGUGUUUGAUGGACCUCUGGGGGACUCCCGGCGCGAGGUCCGGGUCGCCCCCCGAGGCAACAGAUAUUGAUCGACAAAGGGUUGGAGGUCGGGCGCGAGGGCCCUCACUCGGUAAUGAUCCCUCCGCAGGUUCACCUACGGAGA
rnacentral:misc_RNA from 1 species